AAUGAAAUCUGACUGGGAAAGAAAGAAGAUGAGAGUGAGUGAGUAAGAGAGAUCCAUGAGAGUCGGUUUGGAGCGAGAAUAUGGGCAAAAAUGCGUCAUAUCAUAUCAUGUAUAUAUGUAUGUUGUUAGUGCUUUAGAUUUCGGAUGGUUUGGAUUUAAUGUACUUGUAUUUUUCAAGUAAUCAGUCUCUCCGACAAUAAAACUUCAACUGGUCUCGGAAAAAUCAGAAACCCCCUCAGAUUCUCUUCUUCUUCUCUCUCUACACUUCCCAUACCGAUAUCGGCACCAUACCUUGGGAGAUUUUUCGUAAUCUUUUUCUGUUUGUUUCAUUUCCUUUUUGAAACUACAUGGGUCGACCUUGAAGUUGCUCUAGAUUUUGCUGUUGUACCUUGUAAUCGUCAGAUUGUGGUUUCUUCAAACUCAAGAGUUGGGUAUGUUGUCUCUCUCUCCCUCUCUCGUUCUUUGUAUCUGCCUUCUUUUAACUUCUUUCCAAGCUCUGUCCUUUAUAACAAGAAUAGUCGAGAAAGAACAAAACGUACAGUGGUGCAGUGAUAUACACCAGUACUAGCAGCAGCAGGAAAAUCAAGAUUUAUUUAUUGUGUAUGUGGAUUAGUGUGGCUGUCUAGAUCCUUGCAUGUGAAACUUCUUCAAAACUUGAUGUUGAUGACAAGAAGUUCCAAGAAGAGCAGAAACAUGGUAUUUAUAUAUAUGCUAAUACUAGCUUGAAAAAUAAGGGUUAUAUGUUCCUGUCACUUUUUGGCAUUUGGGUUUCUUUCGAGUUCUUGAAAACGUUUUGUCAUGGAAGAUAAUUAUAAUAACGGCUCAUGAAGAGCAAAUCAAGAAACGUAGCACUAGCAAUGGUAGUGUGUGGUGGUGGUAUUCGUAUGGGCAACAUUAGUAGAUCGUCUAGGAAAAAAAAAACAAAAGAAGGUGCCACAGAGAGGGCUUGGUGCUGCACAAGUAGAGAAAAUAAGACUAGAAGAGCAACAAAAGAAGGUAAAUGCCUCAUCAGGAAGUUCAUCAUCAUCUUUGCUAGAUUUUCAGAUGGAGCCCCCUUCAAACCAAACUUAUUACGUACGACAACUAUAUAUACGUAUGAUUCACCUGUUUGGAUACGGGAAGAGAAGGUGAUUUAUUUUUUUCUCGUAAUCAAGGAGAUGCAUGGUGAAUUCAGAAAUGCAUUUUCAGAGAAGGCUUCUCGUGUUCUCCUUCCAUCUUGGAGCCUACUUCAAAGAAGAGGGGGCUUGCAAUGGAGGUUUUCUCAGUACUCUAGCCCCUCAUGCUACUACUUUGACGUCUACAAAUUUCAUGCCCUAGCCUUCAACUUAUCUAGCCUUCCAUAAGCCUUUGAUUUUGAGUCACUGCCUCAUCAAGUGAGAUUAAUUAAUUAAACUGCAAAUGUUUAUUUCCGUUUCACUUUUUCUAUAUAUCCAGCUAUUUUAUCUCAUGGAUUUUGCUAAAGGGUAACGUGGAAGAUCAAAUUCUCCAGCAACUAGCUAUUGCUUCGUUCCCCCAGCACCAAUGCAGAUUGGCCAACCACCAAAAGCUAUUAAUUAUUGCCCUGGUCUGGUGGUGAAGUAGGAGAAACUAUUGAUUUGAAUUUGAAGCUAUGAACAACUACAGAAGCACAAUCUUAUUU